rnacentral:lncRNA from 1 species
CGCGCAAUUUUACGUCAUCUAGAAGACUCCAGAAGCCACGGGAACGAACGGGAAGGCGAACGGGCCCGGGGGCAGGGCGCCCGCCCACCCCCCUUGGGCGCCCGCCCAGGAGUUGUGGUCAAACACGUCCAACUUUGCGGACCAAGCUCCACCGACCUAAAGGAUCAAGGAAAACCGUGCGAUCAAUGUCGGUUUGAUCCGACGGCCCAGAUUCACUUGAAGGGACUAUAAAACCAGACCCCCCUGGCCCCUGGAGAUCAUACCUCUUCUACAGAAUCAAAGCUAGGGUUUCAAUUCUUCAUCCAAGUAGAGAGGAUCCCUCUAGUUCUUCUAGUUCUACC